UCUGCUUUGGGAUCCCAUAUGAUCAGCAUGUACUACAGAAGAGUUUCUUGUGUCAUCUUGAAUGUGGAAACAGAAAUGGAUGGGAGUGUUCAGGGCAGGUUAGAAGCUGCUAAGACAAACACGAGAUCUUCUGAGCGAGCCAGCCCAUCCAUCUGCACCAGUAGCUCUGUCUUCAUCCUGAGGCUUCCUUCGUGCUCUCCCCUAGAGAGGGACAAGGAGGCAGGAUAAUGACGUGGGAACUACGCUUCCCAGGCACAGCAGAUGGGAGGCAGUUUCCUGUGCACAUUCGUCCUCCAAGCCCUCCACCACCGCUGCCAAAGACCCUCCCACCAAGAAAGAGCUCACUACAGAACCUGAACAAUUUAUACUGGCUCUAAAUACCACAUCUUGCAGGAUUCACUUGUAUAGAUGGAGGAAAAAGGACAAAAAAAGAAAAGAAAGAAAGAAAGAAAAAGCCCCUCUUAGACAACACAACAUGCAACUAUAUAUCGUGGCAACCCAAACCAGGUCUGCGUUUUUAGGAGCUAUGCCCCUUACUAUCCAUCUCUUUUCCUAAGAGAGCCGCCUCACAGUAUAGUUAUAUACUUAUUUAGCAUUUGCCCCUAAUUAUUAUUCUUUUAACGUAAUAUGACCCAAGAAGUCUUCCAAGCACCUGCCCCAAUUCCCUGACCAAUUCCCUGAAAAUCCUAGUUUUAGAAUUUAAGUUCCAGACAGGAAAACUGACACUCGGUGCAAAACCUAGCGCCCACUCAAGGACAGCGGGGGAAGUUUCCAGAUCAGCUCAAUCAAAGCUGUGGGGAGUCCAGGAAUGGAGAUCGACAAAGGGAACGUAAGAGCGAGUGCACAGGUCACGAGGGGCUGGCGGGUGGGGCGCCCAGGGCUUUGCCGAGGGAGUGGCCACCAGAGGGGCCUGCGCAGCUCCCUGCUCCAGGCAGGCCCCAUAUCGAGGGGCCGAGGGCCCCAGUCUGGGGCUGACAGCACCCAUUAAGCCAUGGGAUCUUCCUGUUUCAAUCAAUGGCAGGAAUCCCAUGCACCUUAAUGGCUGGUUUUUUCCCCACUGGGAAAAUGGUUUUC